UACCUCACGGUUUUGACCUGCCUUGAGGGGGAUGGCUGCCAUGACUGGUCCCCUAAGGACCAUACUUGGUCAUAGGCUACCCUCUAGUGACUUGUAGGAGGAGACUCCCGGGUGAUUGGAGAACAAAGACCGCCCAUAGUGAGACUCUUCAACCCAGAUUCAGGAAACUCAAUUUCUGUGGUGCUCAAUGGAACUUUUGACAAUUUAAUGAAGAAACCUCGAGAGUGCAGAGGGAUACAUUUCCAGAAGUGGAAUUGCUGGGUCAAAAGGCUCCUAUGGCAAAUCUAUAUGAAUGCUCUUACACUGCUUGAGACAAGGUUAAACACGUAAUCAUUGCAAGAUAUUCUAAAAUGUAUGCAUUUACCGAUCAGUCAGCAUUCUGAAGUGUGAAAGGCAUCUCCUUUAUAAGAGUUGGCUUCAUACAUGGGAAAGCAUGGAGCCUGAAGGCUUAAAUGACAUUUGUAAGAAACAAUCUGUCCGCACAGAGCACCAUCUGUUUACAGUUAUUGCCUAUCAAAAGAAUGUAAGAAUCUUUGUCCUGUGAACAAUCAUUCUAGAAACCAUUGUAUCAUUCUCACCUAGUAGCCGAGUAGCAGAAAAAUAUUUUGUUGGCAGGUAGGCUAAUUUCCAUUUAGGAAAAACUAUGGAAUACUGAUUGUCCCUCCUUCAGAAUCAAUGUAAUUUCUUGUCAAUGCUUAAAUUGUAUAUGGUAACCAAGAAGCCAGGUUUAUUUCCUUUUUUCUUGAGCAACUAGAAAUAUUCGAGAUGACUAAAAAUGGCUGGAGGGUAGGGUUGUGUCUUUAUACCCCAGACAGUGUCUUUCAGAGUUUUUUUAUACAAAAUAAGAAGGUAAACACUUGUUGAAUUUAAUUGAAGAAACUGAUGUGGCAUCUAAACACAAAAAUUUAGUUUAAAAAAAAACCAUAAAUAUAUUUAGACUAAAUGAACUACUUGCUUCCUAUCUUGUUUUGGCAUAAACACAGCACAAUAAAAGUUAGCAAAGAUGAAAAUCUAGUACCUAUUAUUUUGGAUAAGGACAAAAGCAAUAUAAACCCUGCUGUUUGUGAACAUAAAAGAAAAUUGCUUAUCUGAUUCAGAAAGGAGUUGGACCAAUUCUAAAAACAUCAUUCCUAUUAUACUUUUUUUUUCUUUUCACCAGUCCUGAUGUUUUUCUAAUUCAUUAAGCUGAGAUCAUCUAUGUGCAGGCUUGACAAUAUGGUUAAGUAGGAACAAGGCUCAAUAAAUCUAAUGAAUUUUUACUUACAAUUUGAAUGUCAAUGAUGCACAGUUUUUCAGAGACAAUGACUAUAAUUAAGUCCAUUCCCCAUUUUUUUAUCUGAAGUGAUAGCAUGGCAAAACUAUAAUUAUGCAAAAUGACACAUUUCCCAAAUUAUGCAUUAUGAAGACAUUAAAGAUACUUAAAAAGUAAUCACAUGUAUCUAAAAAAAGGCACAAGACUGUUAUUUAAACCUUCAAAUAAAAUUAUUGACUAUCAAACUUACACUUAAAAAAUCUUAAAUAGAUGUUCAUGGGUUAUUUGCUCUAUGGUUUUGGUUUGCGUACAUUCCUAAAUUACUCCUUUCCUGUAUCUACAAGAUAGUAAGCACUCAGAUAACUUUUAAAUAGGUACUUCACCAAUAAGAAAAGAAAAUCAAGAAAAGACAGAG